CCUAGUCCCCGCCCCGUUUGCCCAUUUUCCAAAAAAUCAGAGCAUAACCCGUUCUAACCCGAUUCCCUGCUCUGUUAUGUUAUGUCUGCCCUCCUCUGAUGCUUGGGAAAUCGUUUGUUCUGUGGGCUUCUCCUGAGGAGAUGGAGGAUUUUCAGAGCUUGCAGAAAGAAUUUGAGACCACCUUCAACCAGAGAAGCCUCUGUGGAAAUGUGCCGUCACUGGCCAGUUGUUCUGUCUGUCUGCUGUGGAAUCCAGGCCUGUGAGAAGAGCAGGGGAGUUAUAAUCAUUUCCCUUGUUUUAGGGCAGAGGAAACUGAAGAUAAAGCUAUGAAGUGAAGCUGGCUAGUGGCUGCCUCAGGGUUACUACUGAUAUCGCUGGACCCCUUCAGAACCAAGUAUGAAUGAAGCAAUCCUUUUUCCCACCUGCAAGUGAGGCUCUGAGGGAUUCUUCAGAAAUCAAGACUUUGACCCACUCCAUAUUAUUAACGCCUCAGCCUACAAAGAGCUUGCCUAACCCAACUUCAAGGGGUGGACACAUGAUCCUGGACUUCCAGGUACCAGAGACAGGCCUUGCUCCACCUUCUAUAAGCAUAUGCCUACACAGGCAGGCUGGGUAUUGCAUGUUCUGAAGAGCAGUUACUGUAUUUAAUUCAUAGUUGUAUCCCCAGUGCCUUACGGCAAGCCUGCCACAUGGUUGUAACUAAUAAUUGUGUGGUAAAUGAAUCAAGUUCCAUAAAGUCUUUAAAUUUCAAAGGGUUAUUGGCUCCUUUCUCGGCUUUCAGGCAGGAUUGUAUCCUAAUCACCACACCUGGCAGCUGUUCAGGCUCCAACAGACUUAAUGGCACCCACCUGAGAAAUAGGCAGAGCGGACACAACACUUUGUAUAAUUUAACUUUCAUUCACUAGACAAGUACGCAUUGAGAAGCUCCUCUAUGCCAGUCUCUGAACACAUAGAUGACCUCAAGAACAUUACAGCUUAAUUGGGGGACAGAUAUUGCAUUCAUAAUUGCCAC